rnacentral:rRNA from 1 species
UACGAAGGGUGCAAGCGUUACUCGGAAUUACUGGGCGUAAAGAGUGUGUAGGCGGUGCUCUAAGUUCGGUGUGAAAUCUCCUGGCUUAACUGGGAGGGUGCGCCGGAAACUGGAAUGCUCGAGCGUGGGAGGGGAAAGCGGAAUUCCUGGUGUAGCGGUGAAAUGCGUAGAUAUCAGGAGGAACACCUGCGGUGUAGACGGCUUUCUGGACCAUUGCUGACGCUGAGACACGAAAGCGUGGGUAGCAAACAGG